rnacentral:tRNA from 1 species
UCGGGAUAGCUCAGUCGGUAGAGCAGAGGAC